rnacentral:rRNA from 1 species
AUACGGAGGGUGCAAGCGUCACUCGGAAUCACUGGGCGUAAAGCGCGCGCAGGCGGCUUGAUAAGUUGGAUGUGAAAGCCUACGGCUCAACCGUAGAACUGCAUCCAAAACUGUCAAGCUAGAGUCUGGGAGGGGAAGAUGGAAUUAGUUGUGUAGGGGUAAAAUCCGUAGAGAUAACUAGGAAUACCAAAAGCGAAGGCGAUCUUCUGGAACAGUACUGACGCUGAGGCGCGAAAGCGUGGGGAGCAAACAGGAUUAGAUACCCCAGUAGUCC